rnacentral:rRNA from 1 species
CGAUUUGUGCCGUAAAUCGGGCUGUCAUCUGUUUAAAUCACAGGUGAAGAAAGGGCCGGGCAAGACCGGUGCCAGCCGCCGCGGUAAUACCGGCGGCUCGAGUGGUGGCCACUAUUACUGGGCUUAAAGCGUUCGUAGCUGGUUUGUUAAGUCUCUGGGGAAAUCUUCCGGCUUAACCGGAAGGCGUCUCAGGGGAUACUGGCAGACUAGGGACCGGGAGAGGUGAGGGGUACUCCAGGGGUAGGAGUGAAAUCCUGUAAUCCUUGGGGGACCACCUGUGGCGAAGGCGCCUCACCAGAACGGCUCCGACAGUGAGGGACGAAAGCUGGGGGAGCAAACCGGAUUAGAUACCCGGGUAGUCCCAGCUGUAAACGAUGCGCGUUAGGUGUAUCAGUGACCACGAGUCACUGAGGUGCCGAAGAGAAAUCGUGAAACGUGCCGCCUGGGAAGUACGGUCGCAAGGCUGAAACUUAAAGGAAUUGGCGGGGGAGCACCACAACGGGUGGAGCCUGCGGUUUAAUCGGACUCAACGCCGGGAAACUCACCAGUUAAGACAGCUGAAUGAUAGUCGGGCUGAAGACUCUACUUGACUAGCUGAGAGGAGGUGCAUGGCCGUCGUCAGUUCGUACUGUGAAGCAUCCUGUUAAGUCAGGCAACGAGCGAGACCCACGCCAACAGUUGCUAGCUCGUCCUCCGGGAUGGAGAGGACACUGUUGGGACCGCCUCUGCUAAAGAGGAGGAAGGAAUGGGCAACGGUAGGUCAGCAUGCCCCGAAUUAACUGGGCUACACGCGGGCUACAAUGGGUGGGACAAUGGGUAUCGACGCCGAAAGGUGAAGGCAUCUCCUAAACCCAUCCUUAGUUCGGAUUGUGGGCUAACUCGCGCACAUGAAGCUG